ensembl:processed_transcript
GUCUGGUCUUAUCAGCUUUCUUGUUGUUCCUAUAGUUUGUUAAUAAAUAUGAAAAAUUCUGAUAGUACCUGUUACGUGUGUGUUUGUGACACCAAAGAAAAUUUUGACCUAGUCCAGCACUCUACAGAAAGCUUGAAGUAUCUGAUUAAACUACAGUCUAUUGCCUUCUCUCACUCCUGCAACCAGCUGGUGGAACCAUAGUGUGGUUCAUCUCAAACAAGCCCAAGGUCUUCAGACUUACUAAAAACUUCAAGGUUAUUUGACUUUGUUCAACCCAGACUCAUUGGAGAUAUGUGCCCAGGGCUUCAUUUUUGAGAACAGAGAAACAUGUACCCUAAAGCAGGGAUUCUCAACCAGUCAGCUGUGGCCCCCUAGUGGCCUCAUUGAUCCUGCAGUCUCUUCCAUGUCAAUAUCCUCUUGGCCUCACCUGUCCACGCGAAUCCUCCCAAAGUAAUCUAAGCAUCAAGCACAUCCACUUUCCUUCAAACUGAUGUGAUCGGGGCGAUGCGCCGAGGAUGCGGGGCGACCCAGGUGACCUUGUUCCAUAUUCAAUUUCAUCGGCCCUGCGUUCCCAUGGACAGGUCCUCCGCCAGCUGCUCUCCCCGUCGCACAGUUCCUUGUGCAACAGCGAGAACAUCAGUCUGGGGACGACUUCAAGAGCCCUUAUUGAUGGUGUUGUCAAGGCGAGGGCGAGAGCAACUUAAUCUCUCUCAAUUAAUACCCCCGCCUGCGGCCACCACGUCCCAGUGCUCAGUAGCCCUUUUCCCCCACACAGGCCCCUGAGCGCCUUGCUGACACUCACCUUUCUACUCCUAAUGAGUCCCUCUCCGAUUUGCUGCCAUUGCUCCAGGCCUAAAAAUUACCCUAAAUCCCAACACAUCCUUGACUCUGUGCAUGUCCACCCUGUGUGAAGAUAAGGAGGAAUAUCCUUUUUAAUGUCUGUUGUGGACCCUUUUUAGAUUGUAAUGAUGUAAUAACAGUGUGCUACAUUGGUGAUGAAUUAAAGCUCAUGUGAAAUU